AAGUCGUAACAAGGUAUCCGUAGGUGAACCUGCGGAUGGAUCAUUACAAAUUGUGUGGCUUCACAGCUAUCAAUCUUACCAUUUGUGCACUGCGAGCGUCACUGCUCGCACCAAUUUCACCAAAAGCCAAAAUUUCAAUUAACAAAAGCACAAAACUUUUAGCAACGGAUCUCUAGGCUCUC
rnacentral:misc_RNA from 1 species